rnacentral:rRNA from 1 species
UGGGGAAUAUUGCACAAUGGGCGCAAGCCUGAUGCAGCCAUGCCGCGUGUGUGAAGAAGGCCUUCGGGUUGUAAAGCACUUUCAGCGAGGAGGAAGGUGGUGAGCUUAAUACGCUCAUCAAUUGACGUUACUCGCAGAAGAAGCACCGGCUAACUCCGUGCCAGCAGCCGCGGUAAUACGGAGGGUGCAAGCGUUAAUCGGAAUUACUGGGCGUAAAGCGCACGCAGGCGGUUUGUUAAGUCAGAUGUGAAAUCCCCGGGCUCAACCUGGGAACUGCAUUUGAAACUGGCAAGCUAGAGUCUCGUAGAGGGGGGUAGAAUUCCAGGUGUAGCGGUGAAAUGCGUAGAGAUCUGGAGGAAUACCGGUGGCGAAGGCGGCCCCCUGGACGAAGACUGACGCUCAGGUGCGAAAGGCGUGGGGCAGCAAACAGGAUUAGAUACCCUGGUAGUCCACGCUGU